CUGGAUGCUGGAGGGGGCCUGGCUCAGAGUCUAGAGCCACACGGAACCAGCCUGGGUUCAAAUUCUGGGUUCCGUCUGUACCAGCCAUGUGGCCUUGGGGAAGUUACUAAGUCCCUUUGUGCCUCCCGUUUUUUUCAUCUGGAAACCACCAGCACCUGCCCAGAAGGUUAUUGCAAGAAUUAAGAAAGAUUCUACAUAUGAAGUACUUAGAAACACUGCCUGGAACAUAGUUAACGCUGACUUGGGUUUUGCUUUUUUUUUUUUUUUCCAUUUCAGAAUGGCUGUUUUUUAGAAGGAUCUGAUAUCACUUUGUGUGGCCCCGGUUCGAGGCAAGGAUGCGGGGUGGGGAGGAGUCGAGAGGGACGCACAGCACUGCAGUCGAGCUCCAGUACUCUGCUGUGUAACCUUUUGCAAAUUCAUGUCUCUUUCUGCAUCUUUCAGAUGGGGACGAUUUAACCCACAUCAAGAGGGAGAGCAGAUCGGGCUUGAAUGAGAAAAUAUCUGGCGGUGCCUGACGCAGUACCCAGCACACGGUAGACAGUUGGCAGGUCCCCAGUUUUUCUCGUACAACACCCCUGUCUCAUCCUUUGGUCCUCCCUUCCUUCUCCAUUCCUCGCUCAGGUUCACAGGCACCUGCCUCAGUUCAUCUGUGCGACCAGAUGCCAAGGAGGAGCUUGUGAGGAGCUUGGAAGGAGCACUAGGGGAAACGCCGGGGUUCCUGAGCUCCCUGGGGGAGGUGACCAGAGGCAAUGUAUGCAUUGGACAUUGUGUGAGUGUCAAAUGAACCCUUAGUAGGUUAAGCCACUGAUAUUUCGGGGAUGCUCGUUACAGCGGCUGGUGUCAGCUGACUGAUUGAUGGGCUGCUUUGCCUCAACAGGAAUUUGUUAAGAGUUUCCCAGCGACACAGUCUCACACCAUGUCUGCACAGCUCUUCCCUGGAACCCUCGCUCUGGCUGUGGGGAGGAGUUUGGGAAUCCAUUCACAUCAUCAUUAAAAGCAUGAGUUUAUUGAAGAAAAUGGAUUGAGCCUUGUACUGUUGAGCAACAUAAAGAUUCGUUGCUCCUGGACAGAAAUGGCAUCCUA
rnacentral:lncRNA from 12 species